UCCAUGUCCUAUAGUUCCCUUCUGUCUGUAGAAAGCAAUAUCAUCCAGGUACGCACAAGUAAAAUCCUGGAAGCCAUCGAGGAGUCUAUCCACCAAGCGAAGAAAGGUGUCCAGGGCAUUUUUCAUCCCGAAUGGCAUGACCUUAAAUUGGUACAAGCCAAAGGGGUGAUGAAAGCGACUUGGGGAUGGCCUCCUCAGCCAGGGGAAUCUUCCAAUAUCCUUUGCAGAGAUCUAGGGUGGUCAGAUAGUGUCCCCUGGCUAUACGAUCUAAGAGUUCAUCUACCCAGGGCAUCAGGUAGGCAUCUGUCAUGGUCC